rnacentral:rRNA from 1 species
UUGAGAGCGGCGGACGGGUGAGUAAUGCCUAGGAAUCUGCCUGAUAGUGGGGGAUAACGUCCGGAAACGGACGCUAAUACCGCAUACGUCCUACGGGAGAAAGCAGGGGACCUUCGGGCCUUGCGCUAUCAGAUGAGCCUAGGUCGGAUUAGCUAGUUGGUGAGGUAAAGGCUCACCAAGGCGACGAUCCGUAACUGGUCUGAGAGGAUGAUCAGUCACACUGGAACUGAGACACGGUCCAGACUCCUACGGGAGGCAGCAGUGGGGAAUAUUGGACAAUGGGCGAAAGCCUGAUCCAGCCAUGCCGCGUGUGUGAAGAAGGUCUUCGGAUUGUAAAGCACUUUAAGUUGGGAGGAAGGGUCGUUACCUAAUACGUGACGAUUUUGACGUUACCGACAGAAUAAGCACCGGCUAACUCUGUG